GUUAGGAAUCUUCCACAAUGGGGGCAACCCUGAUGGAGCAACACCGCGUGCUGGUUGAAGGCCUUCGGGUCGUAAACAGCUUUUGUAUACGAAGAAUAUGACGGUAAUAUACGAAUAAGGGUCGGCUAACUACGUGCCAGCAGCCGCGGUCAUACGUAGGACCCAAGCGUUAUCCGGAGUGACUGGGCGUAAAGAGUUGCGUAGGCGGCUUAUUAAGCGAGUAGUGAAAUCUGGUGGCUCAACCAUCAACACAUUGCUCGAACUGAUAGGCUUGAGAAUGGUAGAGGUAGUUGGAAUUUCUUGUGUAGGAGUGAAAUCCGUAGAUAUAAGAAGGAACACCAAUGGCGUAGGCAGACUACUGGACCAUUUCUGACGCUGAGGCACGAAAGCGUGGGGAGCGAACCGGAUUAGAUACCCGGGUAGUCC
rnacentral:rRNA from 1 species